CCUACGGGCGGCAGCAGUAGGGAAUCUUUCACAAUGGGCGAAAGCCUGAUGGAGCAACGCCGCGUGCAGGAUGAAGGCCUUCGGGUUGUAAACUGCUUUUAUAAGCGAGAAAUAUGAUGGUAACUUAUGAAUAAGGAUCGGCUAACUACGUGCCAGCAGCCGCGGUCAUACGUAGGAUCCGAGCAUUAUCCGGAGCGACUGGGUGUAAAGAGUUGCGUAGGUGGCAUAAUAAGUAGCUAGUGAAAUCUGGUGGCUCAAACAUUCAGACUAUUAGCUAAACUGUUAAGCUCGAGACCGUUAGGGGUAACUGGAAUUUCUAGUGUAGGAGUGAAAUCCGUAGAUAUUAGAAGGAACACCAAUAGCGUAGGCAGGUUGCUGGGACGGUUCUGACACUAAGGCACGAAAGCGUAGGGAGCAAACGGGAUUAGAUACCCCAGUAGUC
rnacentral:rRNA from 1 species